AUACUUACCUGGCAGGGGAGAUUCUCCCGUGAUCAGCAAGGCGGGGCUCCCAGGGUGAGGCUCAUCCAUUGCACUUUGGUUGUGCUGACCCUUGCGAUUUCCCCAUGUGUGGGAAACUCGACUGCAUUAUUUGUGGUAGUGGGGGACUGCGUUCGCGCUUUCCCCUG